GACAGAGGGUGCGAGCGUUGUUCGGAAUUACUGGGCGUAAAGGGCGCGUAGGCGGCUUUGUAAGUCAAAGGUGAAAUAACGAGGCUUAACCUCGUUGCUGUCUUUGAUACUGCAUUGCUUGAGAAUGGGAGAGGUAAGUGGAAUUCCUAGUGGAGAGGUAAAAUUCGUAGAUAUUAGGAGGAACACCAAAGGCGAAGGCAGCUUACUGGAACAUUUCUGACGCUGAGGUGCGAAAGCGUGGGGAGCAAACAGG
rnacentral:misc_RNA from 1 species